UGUUCUGUAGCUUAGUUGGUUAAAGCGCCGGUCUAGCGUACACAAAGUCUUGAGUUCGAGUCUCACUAAAACUG
rfam:Aedes aegypti strain Liverpool supercont1.145 genomic scaffold, whole genome shotgun sequence.